CUUAACACAUGCAAAGUCGAACGAGAGGGACAUGGGGAAGCUUGCUUCCUAUGGAAUCGAGUGGCAAACGGGGUGAGUAACGCGUAAACAACCCUGCCCUUCGGAUGGGGAUAACAGCCGGAAACGGCUGCUAAUACCGAAUACGAUCUUUUCGUCGCAUGACGAAAAGGAAGAAAAGGAAUGGCCUCUAUACAAAGCUAUCGCCGAAGGAGGGGUUUUGCGUCUGAUUAGCUGGUUGGAGGGGUAACGGCCCAACAAGGCGAUGAUCAGUAGCCGGUCUGAGAGGAUGAACGGCCACAUUGGGACUGAGACACGGCCCAGACUCCUACGGGAGGCAGCAGUGGGGAAUCUUCCGCAAUGGACGAAAGUCUGACGGAGCAACGCCGCGUGAGUGAAGAAGGUCUUCGGAUUGUAAAGCUCUGUUAUACGGGACGAAAAAGACGGAUGCCAACAGUAUCCGUCCGUGACGGUACCGUAAGAGAAAGCCACGGCUAACUACGUGCCAGCAGCCGCGGUAAAU
rnacentral:rRNA from 1 species